AACGAACGCUGGCGGCAGGCCUAACACAUGCAAGUCGAACGCUCGUAGCAAUACGGGAGUGGCAGACGGGUGCGCAACGCGUGGGAACAUGCCCUUUGGUUCGGAAUAACUCAGGGAAACUUGAGCUAAUACCGGAUAAGCCCGAGAGGGGAAAGAUUUAUUGCCGAAGGAUUGGCCCGCGUCUGAUUAGCUAGUUGGUAGGGUAAUGGCCUACCAAGGCGACGAUCAGUAGCUGGUCUGAGAGGAUGAUCAGCCACACUGGGACUGAGACACGGCCCAGACUCCUACGGGAGGCAGCAGUGGGGAAUAUUGGACAAUGGGCGCAAGCCUGAUCCAGCCAUGCCGCGUGAGUGAUGACGGCCUUAGGGUUGUAAAGCUCUUUUACCUGGGAAGAUAAUGACUGUACCCCCACGAAGAAGACCCCGGCCGUAACUACCGUGCCAGCAGCCGCGGUAAA
rnacentral:rRNA from 1 species